rnacentral:misc_RNA from 1 species
AAGUCGUAACAAGGUAUCCGUAGGUGAACCUGCGGAUGGAUCAUUACCAAUUUAACUUAUUAUAAGUUUGAGUUACCUGAUCGCUUUGCGAGAGGGUACCCAACUUUUAAUGUAAAUGUUGAACUAGAUCAUAUUGGUGUGGGAUUGUUUGUGAAUAUUUUAUUCAUAGGCAAACCCCACGCUGAUACCCUUUUUCAAAUAUAUACAACUCCGUAUAUACUACCAAACAAAACAAAAAAAUAUAUAUCUAAUAGGACUUAUAAACGAGCUGAGUGGGUAAAAUCCUCGGCUUUAAAAAUUUAUAACUAUUACAACUUUCAGCAAUGGAUCUCUAGGCUCUC